GCUGCCCCCUCCCUUGACCAAGAACAAAAGAACCAUUUCCCCCAUUGUCAUCUCCAUUUUCCCCUCAUUUUCCUUUGGCCUUUGGACCACAACAGCCUCUUUUCCUUCUCAGUUGCAGGAACAAAAGGCGAACCGGGCGGAGACCAGCUCUCUCCUCACUUUGCCUCACCGCCAGUCAAAGAAGAAAGAGGGGCUCACUCUCUCAUCUCCAUCGCCAGGUCUCUCCUCCAUUCGGUCCCCAGCGGCGACCGAACAGCCCUAGCAGCAACGGCCCCUCCAUGAACAACAGCGCCGUCUUCCUCUGGCAGCAGCCCACACAUAGCGGCACCACGAAGCCCCUUCCUCGGCAGCACUUUCUUCUUCGGUCUCUUCAAUAGAAACGGCCACAAACCAGCGGCGUUUCUCCAGCCAGCAGCUGCACAGACGCGACACGAACCCGUUCGCCAAAAGCCUCUUGGUCCCACCGCCGACCACCUGAAAAAGAAAGAAAGGAGAAACAAAAAAUGUGAUCUGCAAACAGAAGCAAAUCUGUAGAGAAAGGAGAAGGUGUUGGAACCGGACAGAUCUAAAAAACAAAAAUAAAAUCAACUGUUUGUGGUGUUUCUUGGCUUUGCAGGUGACGGUGAUCUUCAAGCAGGCGAAGAAGGGAAGGAGAAAAGAAGACGUUCCCAGACCCACCCCGCAAUUCCUGAAGUUUUUAUGGGCUGUUUUGUAAUUUUGAAAUUAUUUAAUGAAAUAUUUUUUAUUUAGUUUUGAAUUUUCGAGGUAAUGAAUUUCAUAAUUUAUUUUGAUUUAUUUUUUAUAAAGUUAUCUCGAUUUAAUGACCUGAGUCCCGACGAGUUUUGUAGGUCUAAUGUAAUUUUAUAUUUAAAAAUGAGAUUUUUUAAUUUAUACUUAACCA
rnacentral:lncRNA from 1 species